rnacentral:rRNA from 1 species
GACAGAGGUUGCAAACGUUGUUCGGAAUCACUGGGCAUAAAGCGCACGUAGGCGGUCUGUUAAGUCAAGUGUGAAAGCCCCCGGCUCAACCGGGGAACAGCAUUUGAUACUGGCAGACUCGAGAAUGGUAGGGGUGAGUGGAACUCCAGGUGGAGCGGUGAAAUGCGUAGAUAUCUGGAGGAACACCGGUGGCGAAGGCGGCGUUCUGGACUGCAACUGACACUGAGGAACGAAAGCCAGGGGAGCAAACGGG